GAGAACACGUUGAAGAGAAGAGUAGAGUGUGAAAGCGGCGACAGAGAGGGAAUCAUCAGCUGAAAGCUUCCUGCCGGGGAAACAUUUGAAGACCACCUCGGAGUGGCUGUAAACCAGCCCGGUGAUUCCGUUAUCAUCAUAAAUGAGCGGCUUUGUAUAUCCGAAAAAGGAGUGCAGAGCAAGUUAGGGUGGAACCGCGAGAUACUCGUCCCUUUC
rnacentral:ncRNA from 1 species